GGAAAGGCAGACGCACCCUCAGUCUGAGUGGGCAUAAUCUAAUUGGCUGCCAGUACAGCUAGAAUAUAAGCAGGCAGAAGAAUGUGAAAAGAGAGACUGGCCUAGCCUUCUUUCUCCCAUGCUGGAUGCUUCCUGCCCUCAAACAUCUGACUCCAAGUUCUUCAGUUUUGGAACUUGGACUGGCUCUCCUUGCUCCUCAGCCUGCGGAUGGCCUAUUGUGGGACCCUGUGAUUAUAGAUCCCCAAACACCAAAAAGAAAAGGUCUCUUAAAGCCCUCAUCACAUCCUGUCUUCAGUUCUACGCCCUGGUUGCCUGUGUCUGUACCCCGUUUCAUCUUCACUUCUGGGAACCAGGCUGAUGGAGAAGUCUUCUAGCAGAAGUACUAUGGGUCAUGAUGGCAGAAAGAAGAGCAAACUUGGUGGACCAUGUGCUGGCCCUUGAUGGGUCUACUCAGAUGGGUCACGUAUCUCUGCUCACAAGGUAGCUACCCUUGCAUUUCAUCAGGGCUCUGCUUGCAAGAAUCGCAAGGCAGAUCAAGCCUAGCGGCCUAAGAAUGCACACCACCAUGAGGGAAAACCAGCACAGUACCAGAAACGGAGUUCAAACAGAUGUCAAGCUGAUUGAAUAACUGAGGCUUGAUAGAGUUACAUCACUUGUCCAAAGAGAUAAUGCCAGUGAAUGGAAUAGCCAGAUCGAAUUCCAGAAUCCGUAAAGCUCCACUGCUUCUCUCUGAAUGUAAUAACCCAUCCACAAGCCCUAAGAUAUUAGACACAUCAGUGAUCACUCCAUCUGCUUUUGGCCCAUUGCUGUUGUCAGGAUUUAUGCAUUUAUGUCUGCAAUAAUUAUUUAUUGAGGACCUUCUCUCUUGCAAUUGCAUAUGGCCUUAUAACUGAAUUCUGACUUUAUGUCUCUCUUAGGAUAGACAGAUAAAAAUUUUUCAUAUGUGAUCUUCUUUCUGUCCCCUACCUCUCAGCUAUGAGCCUGAAACAGCAGAUUCAGUAGAACAGAGUUUCUCAGGAAUGGCAGAGCCACAAGUUGGGAGGAGCCCAGCUCUGUCCAACAACCUGGAACAUCCAUCAACCAGGAAAACUGUUGCACUUUAUGUGAUUAAGAAACAUUUUUUAAGGAAAAAAGCAGUAAAUUUUUGGGUUAUAUUUGUUGCAAUAGCUGUGUUACUUUCCUAAUGCACAAUCACAAAUGUAAAAUGCCACACACAGAGUGUGAGGAAAUAUAUUGCUAUUGGACUACUUGUAGUCUAUUUAAUUUUUUUAUAUAGCUAUAGCCAGAUCUGGGGUGAAAUGGUUUAGAAUAAUAAUUUCCAAUAGUAUACAUCAUACCUUUAAAAAGACUUUUAUGGAUGGAUAAAUAUCUAAUUAUGGAACUGCCCUGCAACGUAAGUGGUGAGAGAAACUCUUUAUAUAUGCUUUGUUUUUUUCUGAAUGCAUAGGUUCAGAAUUAUUAAACAAAUCCUCAUCUUUUGACAGCCAGUAAUCAAUUUCUCAUUUGCAGGGAAUCUAAUUGCAUUAGAGGGGACACUGGGGAAGUUAUGGACUACCUCAUCUUUCUACUAUAAAAAAUGAAACUACUUGUCUGUAUUGAAUUUGAUUUUAUAUGUUCAAUGAAAUAUAUCAUAUCCUUAUAAUAAAGUUAUAUAAGUUGC
rnacentral:lncRNA from 10 species